UCUAUUAUGGCAGAAUAAUUGCAAUGAAUUUAAGAUUCAUAUAUAAAGAUAAAUCUUUUUUUAGAA
rnacentral:tRNA from 1 species